rnacentral:rRNA from 1 species
GAUGAACGCUGGCGGCGUGCCUAAUACAUGCAAGUCGAGCGAACAGAUGAGGAGCUUGCUCCUCUGACGUUAGCGGCGGACGGGUGAGUAACACGUGGAUAACCUACCUAUAAGACUGGGAUAACUUCGGGAAACCGGAGCUAAUACCGGAUAAUAUAUUGAACCGCAUGGUUCAAUAGUGAAAGACGGUUUUGCUGUCACUUAUAGAUGGAUCCGCGCCGCAUUAGCUAGUUGGUAAGGUAACGGCUUACCAAGGCAACGAUGCGUAGCCGACCUGAGAGGGUGAUCGGCCACACUGGAACUGAGACACGGUCCAUACUCCUACGGGAGGCAGCAGUAGGGAAUCUUCCGCCAUGGGCGAAAGCCUGACGGCGCAACGCCGCGUGAGUGAUGAAGGUCUUCGGAUCGUAAAACUCUGUUAUUGGGGAAGAACAAAUGUGUAAGUAACUAUGCACGUCUUGACGGUACCUAAUCAGAAAGCCACGGCUAACUACGUG